rfam:Toxocara canis scaffold383, whole genome shotgun sequence.
CGGGCAGUAGCUCAGUGGUAGAGCUCCCGCUUCGUUUGCGGGAAGACCUGGGUUCAGUUCCUGGCUGCUCCC